CCUACGGGAGGCAGCAGUGAGGAAUAUUGGUCAAUGGGCUUACGCCUGAACCAGCCAAGUCGCGUGAGGGAAGACUGCCCUAUGGGUUGUAAACCUCUUUUGUCAGGGAGCAACGCCGGCUACGUGUAGCCGGACUGAGAGUACCUAAAGAAAAAGCAUGGGCUAACUCCGUGCCAGCAGCCGCGGUAAUACGGAGGAUGCGAGCGUUAGCCGGAUUUUUUGGGUUUAAAGGGGGCGUAGGCGGAAUGCAAAGUCAGCGGUAAAAUCGCGGGGCUCAACCUCGCUCCGCCGUUGAAACUGGCGGUCUGGAGUGGGCGAGAAGUAUGCGGAAUGCGUGGUGUAGCGGUGAAAUGCAUAGAUAUCACGCAGAACCCCGAUUGCGAAGGCAGCAUACCGGCGCCCAACUGACGCUGAAGCACGAAAGCGUGGGUAUCGAACAGGAUUAGAUACCCCAGUAGUC
rnacentral:rRNA from 1 species